UGAGAGAGAAAGGGAACGAGUUUGAAAAAGAAAGGUAGUGAGUCUGAGAGAGAAAGGUAGUGAGUCUGAGAAAGAAAGGUAGUGAGUCUGAGAAAGAAAGGUAGUGAGUCUGAGAAAGAAAGGUAGUGAGUCUGAGAGAGAAAGGUAGUGAGUCUGAGAAAGAAAGGUAGUGAGUCUGAGAAAGAAAGGUAGUGAGUCUGAGAAAGAAAGGUAGUGAGUCUGAGAGAGAAAGGUAGUGAGUCUGAGAAAGAAAGGUAGUGAGUCUGAGAAAGAAAGGUAGUGAGUCUGAGAAAGAAAGGUAGUGAGUCUGAGAGAGAAAGGUAGUGAGUCUGAGAAAGAAAGGUAGUGAGUCUGAGAAAGAAAGGUAGUGAGUCUGAGAGAGAAAGGUAGUGAGUCUGAGAAAGAAAGAGAGUGAGUCUGAGAAAGAAAGAUAGUGAGUCUGAGAAAGAAAGGUAGUGAGUCUGAGAGAGAAAGGUAGUGAGUCUGAGAGAAAAGAGUGAGUCUGAGAGAGAAAGAGUGAGUCUGAGAGAGAAAGAGAGUGAGUCUGAGAGAGAAAGGGAACGAGUCCGAGAGAGAAAGGGAACAAGUCUGAAAGAGAA